rnacentral:rRNA from 1 species
GCAGUAGCCGCGGGAAUACGAAGGGUGCAAGCGUUACUCGGAAUUACUGGGCGUAAAGCGUGCGUAGGUGGUGGUUUAAGUCCGUUGUGAAAGCCCUGGGCUCAACCUGGGAAUUGCAGUGGAUACUGGGUCACUAGAGUGUGGUAGAGGAUAGUGGAAUUUCCGGUGUAGCAGUGAAAUGCGUAGAGAUCGGAAGGAACAUCUGUGGCGAAGGCGACUAUCUGGGCCAACACUGACACUGAGGCACGAAAGCGUGGGGAGCAAACAGGAUUAGAUACCCGUGUAGUCCCUGUCUCUUAUAC